GGAUUAUCUACCUAUGGGUCUGGAAUAACAGUUGGAAACGACUGAUAAUACUGGAUAAUAUGGCAACGUUAAAGGUGGCCUCUGCUUGCAUGCUACUGCCCAUAGAUGAGUCCGCGUCUCAUUAGCUAGACGGUAGGGUAACGGCCUACCGUGGCAACGAUGAGUAGCAGGCCUGAGAGGGUGGCCUGCCACACUGGGACUGGAACACGGCCCAGACUCCUACGGGAGGCAGCAGUGGGGAAUAUUGCGCAAUGGGGGAAACCCUGACGCAGCGACGCCGCGUGGAGGAUGAAGGUUUUCGGAUCGUAAACUCCUGUCAGAAGGGAAGAACCCUGCGAAGAAUAAUACGCUUCGCAGCUGACGGUACCUUCAGAGGAAGCACCGGCUAAUUCCGUGCCAGCAGCCGCGGUAAUACGGAAGGUGCAAGCGUUAAUCGGAAUCACUGGGCGUAAAGCGCUCGUAGGUUGCUUUGUAAGUCAGGUGUGAAAGCCCACGGCUCAACCGUGGAAUUGCACUUGAUACUGCAUUGCUAGAGUUCGGGAGAGGGUAGUGGAAUUCCAGGUGUAGGAGUGAAAUCCGUANAGAUCUGGAGGAACACCAGUGGCGAAGGCGACUACCUGGACCGAUACUGACACUGAGGAGCGAAAGCG
rnacentral:rRNA from 1 species